GUAAAACUUUCAGCGACGGAUGUCUUGGCUCCCACAACCGAUGAAGAACGCAGCGAAAUGCGGAUACGUCUUGCGACUUGCAGAAUCCAGUGAAUCAUCAAAACUUUGAACGCAUCUUGCGCUUCCGGGAUAUGCCUGGGAGCAUGCUUGUCGGAGUGUCUGUUG
rnacentral:rRNA from 1 species